CGGGGCCGUGCCCCCCUCCUGACCACCGUAGGCAUGGACCCCCAGCACGCUGCGGGUGGGACCGGCAGGGACCCUGGAGGGUGGCUUGGCUGGCCUGUGGUUGGGAGUGAAGUCCCGGGGUUUGGUCCCCUGAGGGGUUGGUUGGACGUCCCAGAGCAGGUGGCGGCCACCGCGAUGACCACAGCGAGUGGCCGAUCGGGGUCCCUGCUGAGCCCGGGAGAGCUGUCGCGGAGGGUCCAGUCUAAGCUCCGGGAGCGAGGGGGGAGGGCAGAGCCGCAGAAGUGUGGGCGACCUGCGUGGUCCGAGAGGCCCCAAGUUUCCCGGCAGGGCGGGGACGGCUGGGGCGGGGCCAGAGCAGAAGCCACGUGGAGAGGGCCUGGGAGGGUGCGCUAGGAGCCUUGCCUCAGAGUCUGCCUCCAACCCUCUCUCCAACCCCCACCCCAUUCAUUCCUGUAACAAAUCCCUCCCGGGAGCUGGCACAGCAGUGCGCAGGGACACACGAGAUACUCACUCUCCGUGCCGUCCAGGAGCUUGGACUCAGCCGGGACUCUGCAGGGGUCAGCAGGAGCAGGGCCGAGGGCCCUGGUGGGAAAGUCUUCCCACUAGGGAAGCCUGGGCCCCUGGGAUCAGGUGGAGGGCUGGCUGGGCUGCCAGUUGUUUCCUCUCAGCCUGGAGCAAGGCCACCACUUCCAGCGCCUGGCCUCCUCACUCCCGAAAGCUCAGCUCAACCUACACGUGCCGACCCUCUGUCCCCAGGGCCCAGGCUGGACACUGGUCAGAACAGUGCUCCCAGAGGGAGCCAGUAACAGAAGGAGCUAGGCUGCGGUCCACACCAAGGGGGGCCUACAAAGGAUCUUGGGCCCCCAGACCUCCACCUGCUGCAGAGCUGCCGCCAGUCAAGCCUUUGUUUCCGGCUUUCCGUGCCCUAAAUAAACUUCCGUCAGGUUUGA